rnacentral:misc_RNA from 1 species
CGGAACUGUUCGUACAGAGAAUAGAGAGUUAGCUGUAAAGCAUCUUUAUACUACUACUUAUUGCUGGAGAGCAGAAUUAAGUGUUGCAUCGAAGACCAAAUGUGUAUCAUGGUGGUAUAGAUUACUGCCAUUCUUUUUUUUUUUUUCCUAAUAAGAUUAGGUAUUGUACAGGUUCCUAAGUAAUUUUGNNNNNNNNNNNNNGAAAACAGUCUUAAUAUGUUUUACCAGACAUGUAUACCAAGAAUAUUGUAUUCAAAAUGACCCCC